UACGUAGGGGGCGAGCGUUGUUCGGAAUGACUGGGCGUAAGGGGCGUGUAGGCGGCUGGGUAAGUUGGGAGUGAAAUUCCUGCUUUCAAGGUGGGAACUGCUUUCAAAACUGCCUGGCUUGAGUGCGGAAGAGGUAAGUGGAAUUCCCAGUGUAGCGGUGAAAUGCGUAGAGAUUGGGAGGAACACCAGUGGCGAAGGCGACUUACUGGGCCGUAACUGACGCUGAUGCGCGAAAGCGUGGGGAGCAAACAGGAUUAGAUACCCUGGUAGUCCACGCGGUAAACGAUGAGUGCUAGGUGUAGGGGGUAUCGACCCCUCCUGUGCCGCAGUUAACACAAUAAGCACUCCGCCUGGGGAGUACGGCCGCAAGGUUGAA
rnacentral:rRNA from 1 species